rnacentral:rRNA from 1 species
CCGGUGACGGAGCGGCGAACGGGUGAGUAACACGUGGGCAACCUGCCCCUCGCUCUGGGACAACCCGGGGAAACUCGGGCUAAUACCGGAUAUGAUCAUCACGGGCAUCUGUGGUGGUGGAAAGUUUUUCGGCGAGGGAUGGGCCCGCGGCCUAUCAGCUUGUUGGUGGGGUAAUGGCCUACCAAGGCGACGACGGGUAGCCGGCCUGAGAGGGCGACCGGCCACACUGGGACUGAGACACGGCCCAG